UUAUGUAGUAGUUUGGUUUGGGGAUUGCUUUUUGCUUAAAAUGCUUUGUAUCCAGAAAAAAAUGAUUUAUUUUUUUCUCCCAAUUUUGCCUGGUAACUCAUUGCAGCCUAGCUAGUUCUGGGCUUCCAGCGGCAGCCCUCCUGUUCCUGUCCCGUGCUGCUUUUCUUUCCUUUGCGGGUUCUGCAUUGUCGUCGACUGGCUCUCCUCCAGCAGCGCUUGUCCUGCACUGCAAAGGUAGGGGCGAAGACUUCCUGAGAAUCUUUUCCCAAGUUUUUCUGACCUUCCUAAAGCUCUGUCAGUGUGCUGGCCUUCAUACUGAAUCCUCUUGUUUGGUUUCACAAUGAUCAGAAUCAAGGUGCUUGGGAUAACAACAACUUGAAAAUAACUUAAAAAAAAAAAAAAAAAAAAAAAAAAAAAGUAAUCUACAAUUUCAGUUGUCCAUCUCACAACAUGCACCAAGAAGAAUCUCUUAGUUCAAGCUAAGUACUGUGUCACUGAUCUGCAGCACUGUACAAGUAUUUCACGAAAACGUACAAAGCUGGAACAGGGCAGUAAACCAUAAACAAAGAAGCUUAAAUAGGAUGCAAAUACAUUUUCCAGUCUUCUGUUAUCUCUGUAAUGGUGCAAGAGCCACCUCAAAACAGCUUCUCUAGGCAUGCAAACCUCCAGUCUCUUCAGCAUUUAGUUGCAAGUAGCACAGGUUGUGCCUCUCGUAUGCAAAUAUGCUAAUGCAGCUCACCCUGCAGAUCACCCUGUCCGUGUGCAAUCCCAUUUCUGACCCUGCAGUACUCCUCAGAAAAUGGAAAUAAUGGUAUUUUUGGCAUUCUCACAUGGAUGGUUUUCACCCAUUUUCUCACAGAAGUGCUGGGUGCUACGUUGAUACUCAGCUUGUGGAUUUUGCUCUGAUGAACUGCUAAAGAGGUCCCUAUGUACUUGGAGCAGUGGUACUUAGGAUCAUCUAAUGAGAAAGAAACAUCCACGUGUAGGUUUGUAUAAAUGCAAAAUUAAAUAUGUUUAUUGGAGCUGUUUUGACUUUCCAUAAGUAAGAAUUAACUGUGCUCUAGUCUCCUACUCCUUAGAAGUUUAUAGUUCACCUCUCAGCCUUCCAUUUUGCUGCACAGUAGGGGAAAUCCUCCUGCUCCUUUUGUUCUCAUCCAGUACUGACAGCUUGCAGACGCUAAACAAGACACCUCCGUGCCACUUCAGGGUGUGCAAAGUAGAACUGGAUUGCACCUCGGAGUACGGUGUGUUGUACCACGUGGAGACAAAGAAUGAAAAUGUCAUCUUGUACAUCACGGCUUGCUUGUACAUGUUGAAAUUAAAUGACCUGGCACAAACUAUAAUAUCCAUAACUGCGGCUUGUAACAGCUCUAGUCCUGAUUGGGAAUUAUUUUUUCUACUGCAGCCUGUAUUGAGGGUUUAUCCAAAAAUAGCACAGGAAAUACAGUGCACAGUUACUGGAGCAAAGCAUUUCUGGCAGUUGUCCAUGGCAUGCUGCAAGUCUGUGAACUGGCUUACAUUCAUCUUUCAUUUAAAGAUGUGAAGAAGACUUUGGUAAGUGCUGACUGCAGCUCAGCUCCCUGCCUACCGAGUUGCAAUCUAUAGUUAAACAAAGGGGAUUUAUACGUUGGCAAGUAAAAUUAUCCUGUGUUAGUGAUGUCUUGCUUAUGCAAGACAAUGGAUAAUAAAUUAUUAACGGAGUGAGGUAAUUCCAUUUUAUACUAUUUCCUGCUGUCUAACAAGUAAUUCAAAAUCUGGGAGUUUCCAGUUUCUCAGGAACGAAAUGCCAUCUAGUGGCAACUGCUAAAUGUUUUGAGCGAGUACAUUCCUUUACAUUAUCAUAAAAUGUGUAGGUAUUCUUGCUGAUAUCCUGCAUUUUACAGCACAUUGAGCUGUAAAAGCGCUUGAGAGAGGAAGAUGGAGAGGCUGGGGAAAGGCGCAGCUCCCAUGUGUCUGCGCCUGCAUCCCCCGUUGGGCAGCGCUGCUGAAAACUCCCUUCCUUCCUCAGCUCCUGGUGCAGGCAGCUGGGCUUUCCCCUGCUCGGGGCUGGACAAACUUCCAGACGAGCUGGCAGGGUGUGUCUCGCUGUUAACUAAUAGUAGCAGACAAAAACACUAAUUUGGCUGAUGCUGUACGAAGAGAAGCUGAAAGCUGCCUCUGCUUUGCCAACUCCAUGCUCACCUGUCCCUCUCCUGGUAGGGGGCUUUUCCCUCUGGUUCUUCCUUCCCAAAGGAGUUUGAAUUUCUCUAUUGGUUCAUGCUACCCUGUCUCAACACGAUGCUCACAGCAUCUGCCCCACCAACCCUACUCUGCCCUAAAUUUCUGUUGGCAGUGUGCCCUGGAUGUAGCCACAGGCCUGAGGCUGGUGCAGCGAUAUGCAGAUCACCAGACCAGCUGGGCAAGCUGAUCUCUGGUUUGGCUUCAAUUCAAAGUGCCACAUGCACAGCUGUAAAGAGGAGCCGGCCAGCUGCAUCUCAUCCUCUCCACCCCCUGCGUGAGGAACUCUGUCCUGCCUGGGGUUAACUCAGCUGCAGUGUAGGAAUUUCCUAACAAAGAGCAAAACUAGGUGCCUGUGGUGGCAGGGUUGCCUUUGCAAGGAGCCUGUAGACACACGGUGACCUCUUGCUGCCCGUUGCCAGCGUCCCAGCCCAGCAGUAUGCCAAACGGCUGCCGAAUUCAGGGAAAACCUCAGACUUCACCUCAUCAGCCAAGUGGGUUCAGAAGAGAAAACAGCCCCAACAGCGCUGAAGGCACAGGGUAAGGUGGGAGAUGAGCUUCUUGGGGCCUGCCAACAGAAGAGCUAGUGCCUGCUGUGUGGUUUAGUUCUCCUCGCCAAUCAACACGACCAUCACCCAGCGUCACCUGGAAACUGGCGUGGGAGGGAAGCUCUGAGUGCCACCGUCAGUCCUUCAGGGCUCCAAGCACCAACAUGCUGUGCGACCAUGAUCCCAGUGAGAGCUCCAGCACCUCGUUUGUGUGCUCACACCCGCAGGAAGAUCAUACCCUAAUGGGAGGUAAGUCUCACUUAGUUUUGGUCACAUCUAGCAAUCCAUGCAGUAGCAAUUAUAAAAGAAAUUUGGGUAGCUCAGGGGUUUUUCUUCCCACAUAGCAUACUUUGUUUCCCAAUGCUUUUCCAGCUCCUGCUCUUAGAAAGAGCCAUCUUUCCCCUGCAGGGCUGUAGUAUUGGAAGUAUUUUAUAUUCACAUUUGAAAGUAUUAGAGGAGUUUGAUGUUUAUUGAAUAAAGAGACCCAAAACACUUAGACCAUUUUAGAAUUCUACCUCAUUAAUUCCUAUGCAUGACAAUCACCUUUAAUUUCACCCUUACCACACUCUUAAAAUCAAAUGAACUAAAGGUGAAAGCUUGGGGAAAAAAUGGGAAUGAAGCUGUUUUUGGUAUGAGAACGACCUUUGAACUGGAUGACAGGGAGGAAUUACCUAUCUGAGAAGCUGCAGGUAGCCACCUAAUUCAGAGCAGAAGAAGGCAUACUUCAGAUCCAGCCAGCCCAGCACCUUCGGUGCUCCAGCAUCAGCGGUGUUAG